GAAUUUUCCGCAAUGGGCGAAAGCCUGACGGAGCAACGCCGCGUGGGUGAUGAAGAUUUUCGGAUCGUAAAGCCCUUUCAGCAGGGACGAAGCGAGUGACGGUACCUGCAGAAGAAGCAUCGGCUAACUACGUGCCAGCAGCCGCGGUAAUACGUAGGAUGCAAGCGUUGUCCGGAAUUAUUGGGCGUAAAGCGAACGUAGGCGGUUACUUAAGUCUGGACUUAAAGACCGGGGCUCAACCUCGGGAAUGGUUCGGAUACUGGGUGACUGGAGGAUGUCAGAGGAAAGUGGAAUUCCAAGUGUAGCGGUGAAAUGCGUAGAUAUUUGGAGGAACACCAGUGGCGAAAGCGGCUUUCUGGGACAUUCCUGACGCUGAGGUUCGAAAGCUCGGGGAGCAAACAG
rnacentral:rRNA from 1 species